UACGAAGGGGGCUAGCGUUGUUCGGAAUUACUGGGCGUAAAGGGCGCGCAGGCGGCCCUCCAAGUCAGGCGUGAAAGCCCCGGGCUCAACCCGGGAAUAGCGCUUGAGACUGGGGGGCUUGAGUUCGGGAGAGGAGAGUGGAAUUCCCAGUGUAGAGGUGAAAUUCGUAGAUAUUGGGAAGAACACCGAUGGCGAAGGCAAUCCCCUGGACCUGUACUGACGCUCAUGCACGAAAGCGUGGGGAGCAAACAGG
rnacentral:rRNA from 1 species